UUACCUACGGGACGCAGCAGUGAGGAAUAUUGGUCAAUGGGCGAGAGCCUGAACCAGCCAAGUCGCGUGAGGGAAGACGGUCCUAUGGAUUGUAAACCUCUUUUGCCGGGGAGCAAAAAGCGGUACGUGUACCGCAUCGAGAGUACCCGGAGAAAAAGCAUCGGCUAACUCCGUGCCAACAGCCGCGGUAAUACGGAGGAUGCGAGCGUUAUCCGGAUUUAUUGGGUUUAAAGGGUGCGCAGGCGGCGAGUUAAGUCAGCGGUACAAUUUCGUGGCUCAACCCCGCCGAGCCGUUG
rnacentral:rRNA from 1 species